CAUAUCUCAGCGGCUAAAUGACUGUCUAUAGGGCAGCGAAAACACAUCCUUAUCAGUUUAAAGCAGUUGCUGCCUUACUCAGGGGGACAAAAAAUGAGAACAGGAGCCUUCUGAAGCUCAUCAAACAAGAGCUUCAAGAGUCAGAAUCGGAAUCUGUAGCUGAGAACAAUUCCACUAACACCUCACUAAUCUCAUAUGACUUUCCUCAAGACAUCAUCAAGUCAAAGCAAACUGGACAUCUACAGAGCUGGUGCAGUUUAUGAAAAUAACUACUACGUGGUAGAGGAGUGGCAAGGAGGAGGGAUGGAAAUUGUCCUAGCCAGAGAGGAGCCGCACAGACCCAGCUCAAGACAGAUGGACCAGUUGGCUGUGGAAAACUGUGCCUCUGAUCAUUGGGACAUAGUGAUCAUCACUGGAGUCCAUGGCCUUCAGAUUUUGUUCUGAGAAAGAGACCACAUCCUGAUUCAUGGACUCCUAGGCACCAGCAAAUAUGAGCUGCCCUGUUGCCACCCUAAAAGAAAUGUGGGGGCACCAGUGCACCUGCCUGAUACCAUGCAAGAUACAAAAGACAGAUAUGCAGCUUUAUGUGACCAGGUACGGACCUGCAUCCUGAAUUGUGAGGGGGGACACAGUGCAGAGCCAGCCACAUGUCACCCUCACUGUCACCUACUUCUGCUGCUUCAUACAAGAGUGACAGCCAUUGAAAGCCUUGCCACCACCUCCCAUACUUUUUAGCCCAACUUAAAAACAAAAAGGAGUCGGGCAGUGGUGGUGCACACCUUUAACCCCAGCACUUGGGAGGCAGAGGCAAGCAGAUUUCUGAGUGCUAGGCCAGCCGGGUCUACAGAGUGAGUUCCAGGACAGCCAGGGAUACACAGAG
rnacentral:lncRNA from 1 species